AUGGAUGGUCAAGUGCCACAGUCGGUCACGCUCCGCAUUGGAGACAUUUGGCUUGAUGUGCCAGUUGGUCCAUGUGCGGCUUCAACAAAUCAGCAUCUGGAUAAUAUGACUGCAUCACCAACUGAACAUGACCAAGGAAUGGAAGUCUUCUCUCCACUCAAGUUUGGGGGAAGUAUGAGGGCAGACAGAGAAGGAAAAGGGAAGACAAUGGACAAACUCCACUAUGAGCAACCUCCGAAUGGGGGCAAUACCAUGAUUAUAUUUCCCUCCUCAUCGUUUCUUCAUGGAAGGACGUCAAAGGUUCAGAAUAAAGUUCAAGUUGAUGCAUCAGAGCCUAUUCUUCCUCGGGACGAUAAAUCCAUUGGAGAAUGCUCUGAGAGGUUCUCAAGUUUCCCCUUGAAUGCAAGCAAAAGCACCACAAUUCCCAUGGCUAUGAAACAUGUCAUGUGA
rnacentral:rRNA from 1 species